AACGCCGCGUGGAGGAUGAAUGCCGUAAGGUUGUAAACUCCUUUUAGCGGGGAUGAAAAAUUCUGCUUCGCAAGGUGCAGAACUUGACCGUACCCGCAGAAAAAGCCCCGGCUAACUACGUGCCAGCACCCUCGGUGACUGAGCGGGCUGGCAAGGCGCAUA
rnacentral:rRNA from 1 species